ensembl:lncRNA
UUUUGAUUCUAUAACAACUAUGGAAAGUAGGAGAUAUUAUCCUUGUUUUACAGAUAACAAAAUUGGGACUGAGGAAGGUCAAGUGACUUGUCCAAAUUCACACAGUUAGUAAAUAUACAAACUACAUUUGAAUUCAAGUUUUCUUGACUCUGAGCCCAUUGUUCAAUCCAUUGUACCACCCAGUUGCAUAGGGUCACACAGCCAGUUGGUGUCAGAGUGACAAUUGAAUCCAUAUUUUUUGGCUUUGAGGUCAGAUUGCUACCCUUUACAUUAUGCUGACUCUGAAUUUCUGUAUCUACAUAUCUUUUAUUUAUCUCUGUGUCUAAUAUUCUGUCUUUCUAUGUCAUAAUAGAAUAAUCUAGAUUCACAUUAUUCUUUGGAAAUGGAUUAUGACCUUGGCUCCAACCAGCCAUAGGAUAUAAGUUGCAGAGAGAAUGCUUACUUGGAUUGGUAGAGGUAGUUUCCUAUGCCAAUGAAGUCAUAGGUCCAUAUAUCCCUAAUUCAUAUGACAAAGUAACUUGGAAGCCUUCCCUAAUGUUUCCUGGGGUUCUACCAGUUCUCAUCGCAGCUUGCUGGUGGUUUUUCCUCUUGUGUGCACUUGGUUGGUUGCUAUGCAUGUAUGUCAAAACUGCUUCCCCACUCUGUAGCUCUCUUGAUUACCCGUCCUCAUGCUUGUCUUCUAUGAGCUUCAUGCGUCACCUUUCACGUUGGUGUGCCUACCCUUGGUUUCUUUUUCUCCAUGUGUGUAAUUCUUUCUACUCUGUCACUCCCUCAAAAGUGAUAGAGUCUAGGUUGUCAGUCACAGGGUGGUCCUAAGGUGCAGGUCAGAGUUAGAGAAAGUCACACAAUCACCUGACUUUCCCUAACUCAUCUGCAUUUUCUGCACUUGUCUCCUUUCCCUAGCUCAAAGCAGCUGUGCCAGAAAAAAGUCUCCGGCUCAAGAGAACUCUUCAUCAAACCCCUCUCUUAAAACCUUCAGUGUCUUACUUCUGGUUCUCUCUGGCUCAAGACUCGACCUCAGGCUAGGUCAUAGGACCUAGUCUAAUAGUCACAGGAGACAGAGAAAAGGAGGCUUUUGGCAUCCUCCCUCAGUACACAUCAUACACAUGCCCAAUCAAAGGGUGAGGCUGAUACCAACUAUGAUGGGUUUUCAAAACUUUCCUUUUAAAAGAAGAAAGAGGAGUACAAUUUAUAUUAAUUUCAUGCAUGUCUAUUGUGAAUCUUGAAAUUUCUCAGACUUGUGAAUGUUAAAAAUUUCCCCAUUGGGGAAUUCUCCAUUGGAACAAUUCCCUACUGGGAACAUUCCCCAUUUGGACAGUGAGAACUCUACUUGGAUUAGAAAUGGGAGGACCUCUACUCCACCCGCACUUAAGACUGCUUUAGGGGAGAAAACUUGCUAAACAAUGAAAGUACUUGGACCCAUACUUAUAAUGAGGCAAAAAGUUCUUUAAGCCAUGCCUGUUUUUAGAAUUAAUACAAUGGGGUGCUAAGUACCUAUUAAAGGUCAGGCAACUUGUGAACUUACAAGGAGCAAAGAGGUGAAAACUUACUCAGAGCUUUCCUGAUGUGAAUUACUCAGAAGUUUUAGUCUACCCAGAAAAAAAAGACAGCAAAAUGUGAAUUAAGAAUGGUCUGUCCUUUGAAAAACGUCUACUGUGAUUGGUGGAUGUAAGAAUUUAGGGGAGGUGACAAAGGAGAAAUUGCCCUAUAUAAGGAGAUGAGAAAUCUGAGUAAAAAAAAGUCAGCUGGGAAAGGCUGAAUUGAAGGAGGCAGCUGGCCAAGGCUGCCUUGAAGGGUCUCUGUCUCGGGACUCUCUCGGGGACACAGUCUGAAACAUUCAGAUUGAGGAUUGAGCUGGUAAAAGCAGCUGAGAUGAUGCUGGCCUGGUGUCACUAGAAUCCUUGCUUAGACAGACCUUGUGGUGAGUGAUAAAAGACUGACUGAUCUCUCUUAAGACUCAGGUCUAGGCCAUGUUGGCUUAAGGCCCUUCAUACUUAUUCCUUUCUUACUCUUUCUCUCUUUCUUUAAUUCCUCAUUGUAUUACUAAUUAAAUUCUCUAUAAAACCCAGUUGACUUGGGUAUAUUCAUAAUUGGGAAUAUUUCCCUGGUGACCACCUUAUAUUUGAUUUAAAACAAGACACUGUGGUGAAAACAUAUUUUCUGUGGUCACAAUUUACUCUUAUAUCUACUACAAUUUAAGUCUUCCACAUUUUAUCACUACAGUUUACAACCUCAAUUAUUUUAAAUAUAACACUAUGGUUCUUUUUUUCAUCUACACUCAGGGCUGUGCUGGUAAAUGUUUUACAAUGCUCCCCACUCUCCCAAUAAACAUAGCACCCCUUAAAGUUUAGUCUGCA